rnacentral:rRNA from 1 species
UACGAAGGGUGCAAGCGUUAAUCGGAAUUACUGGGCGUAAAGGGUGCGUAGGCGGUUGUUUAAGUCUGUUGUGAAAUCCCCGGGCUCAACCUGGGAAUGGCAAUGGAUACUGGACGGCUAGAGGUUUGGAGGGGGGACUGGAAUUCUCGGUGUAGCAGUGAAAUGCGUAGAUAUCGAGAGGAACACCAGUGGCGAAGGCGAGUCCCUGGACAACACCUGACACUGAGGCACGAAAGCUAGGGGAGCAAACAGG